rnacentral:lncRNA from 1 species
UCUGUAUGCGCGCUCACGGACAUACACGGGACAGCAGGCUCAGAGUUCCCUGUUCCCCACUGCUAAACGUUUAGAAGCUGCUGGAUCUCCAAUUUCUUUAAUGUUCCAGCCCUAGAGUAUUUUGUUCCAGAGGCCCCGCCUUGCCAAUAGAGAUGAACUGUUCAGUUUUUUUGGAUACAAAGUUAACAGGGAGAUGUUUGCACAAGAAUCCACACAGGAAAGACUACAUGUUGUAGGAUUCCAUUGUAUCAAGUUCCAGAAGACAAAACCAAUCUGUGCUUAGAUUCCGGAACAGUGAUCGCCUGGGAGACAGGUAUUAACUAAGGAAGGGGGAAGAAGAAAAACUCUGGGGUACAGGAAGGACACACACACACACACACACACACACACACACGUAUAAAUGUGUAUGUAUAUACAUAUGGUAAAUGUAGCAAGCUGCAUACUCAACAUUUAUGUAUUUUCUUGUAUGCCUCAAUAAAACAAUUUUUAGAACUCAAAAGAAAAAAAAAAGGAUAUUUGAAACUUGCCCUGAUGAGAGGCCCAUUCUGGGUCCCACUUUAUGCCUGCAGGGUGCUGGGCACAGGGGCUCGACCACAAAAGUUUCAAAGUCUCUGUCCUCCAGGUCCUAGGCUCUUGGAGACACUCACACUUCUGGCUACAACCAACCAUAGUUUGCCCUGCUCUGAAGAAGGAAGACAAAAGAUGGUUUGGCCUCAGAUUGAAGCCUGAAGGCGUGGGUAUCAAGUCAGUGUGCUUCACUUCUAAACCCGAGAAUCGCUAACCACUGAUUUCAAUAACAACCCCAAAUCGAGCAAAAUGACACACAGGCUCCAAUUCAUAUGUACACACGAUAUUCGCCUUGGGAGAAGGGAGGAGAAAUAUUUCUUUACAUGAAAAAUG